rnacentral:misc_RNA from 1 species
GAACGCACCUUGCGCCCUUUGGUAUUCCGAAGGGCAUGCCUGUUUGAGUGUCAUUAAAUUCUCAACUUUGAAACAUUUUUGUUGUCUUCAAAGUGUGGACUAUGGAGGCUUGCCGGCAAAAUAUGUCAGCUCCUCUUAAAUGCAUUAGCAGAACUUUUUUUUGUUUAAAGGGACUGGCUUCAGUUUGGUAAUUCUAUCUAUGCUGUUGCUGUUGACCUUUGUAUGUUCUGCUUCUAAUGGUCUUCGGACUGUCUCUAUAUGAGGCAUACACUUUUAAGCUUGACCUCAAAUCAGGUAGGAAUACCCGCUGAACUUAAG